rnacentral:rRNA from 1 species
GACGAACGCUGGCGGCGUGCUUAACACAUGCAAGUCGAACGGAAAGGCCCUGCUUUUGUGGGGUGCUCGAGUGGCGAACGGGUGAGUAACACGUGAGUAACCUGCCCUUGACUUUGGGAUAACUUCAGGAAACUGGGGCUAAUACCGGAGAGGAGCUCCUGCUGCAUGGUGGGGGUUGGAAAGUUUCGGCGGUUGGGGAUGGACUCGCGGCUUAUCAGCUUGUUGGUGGGGUAGUGGCUUACCAAGGCUUUGACGGGUAGCCGGCAUGAGAGGGUGACCGGCGUCAAUGGGACUGAGAGACGGACCAGAAUGCUACGGGAGGCAGCAGGGGGGAAUAUGGCAGAAUGGGCGGAAGCGUGAUGCAGAAACGCCGGGUGCGGGAUGACGGCUUUCGGGUGGAGAACCGCUGUGGCAUGUGCCGAAGCGGGAGUGACGGUAAUGGGUAAAGAAGCACCGGCUAACUACGUG